rnacentral:tRNA from 1 species
UCCCGUCGAGCCAUCUCGGUGAAGGCGCUCCGCUGUUAACGGAGGAAGGCACGUUCGAAUCGUGCGGCGGGAGCCA